rnacentral:rRNA from 1 species
UACGGGGGGAGCAAGCGUUGUUCGGAUUUACUGGGCGUAAAGGGCGCGUAGGCGGCCACCGCAAGUCGACUGUGAAAUCUCCGGGCUUAACCCGGAAAGGUCAGCCGAUACUGCGGGGCUAGAGUGCAGAAGGGGCAACUGGAAUCCUCGGUGUAGCGGUGAAAUGCGUAGAUAUCGAGAGGAACACCUGCGGCGAAGGCGGGUUGCUGGGCUGACACUGACGCUGAGGCGCGAAAGCUAGGGGAGCGAACGGG